AGCAGCCGCGGUAAUUCCAGCUCCAAUAGCGUAUAUUAAAGUUGUUGCAGUUAAAAAGCUCGUAGUUGAAUUUCGGGAUCAGUAGGCUGGUCGUGCCACAGGUAUGUACUGGUCUCACUGAUUCCUCCUUCCUGAUGAACCGUAAUGCCAUUAAUUUGGUGUUGUGGGGAAACUGGACUGUUACUUUGAAAAAAUUAGAGUGUUUAAAGCAGGCUAACGCUUGAAUACAUUAGCAUGGAAUAAUGAAAUAGGACGUUGAUCCUAUUUUGUUGGUUUCUAGGAUUGACGUAAUGAUUAAUAGGGAUAGUUGGUGGCAUUAGUAUUCAAUUGUCAGAGGUGAAAUUCUUGGAUUUAUUGAAGACUAACUACUGCGAAAGCAUUUGCCAAGGAUGUUUUCAUUAAUCAAGAACGAAAGUUAGGGGAUCGAAGACGAUCAGAUACCGUCGUAGUCUUAACCAUAAACUAUGCCGACUAGGGAUCGGAUGAUGUUAAUUUUUUAAUGACUCAUUCGGCGCCUUACG
rnacentral:rRNA from 1 species